CACGCUGUAAACGGUGGGUACUAGGUGUGGGGGACAUUCCACGUUCUCUGUGCCGUAGCUAACGCAUUAAGUACCCCGCCUGGGGAGUACGGCCGCAAGGCUAAAACUCAAAGGAAUUGACGGGGCCCCGCACAAGCGGCGGAGCAUGCGGAUUAAUUCGAUGCAACGCGAAGAACCUUACCUGGGUUUGACAUAUAUCGGAAACGUUCAGAGAUGGGCGCCCCGUAAGGUCGGUAUACAGGUGG
rnacentral:rRNA from 2 species